UGUCAGCCAUCUCGCGUCGCCGCGAAAACGCGACAGUCGUUCGUCAUGCCUUGUAUAUAAGAACAAAUCCUCCACGGUCCCCUUACUGGCCUGCUAUGCUCUCGCUUCUCCUGCAGAAAAGUCCUUCUCGUCUGCUCUUUCCUCGCGGGCAUCGCUGUGAGCCUGUGCUACUUCGCAGAAAGCACCCUCUUUAUUGUCGUCUUCUUUGGAAUCAUUAACGGGAUCACGCUUUCGGGGCUAUACAUCGCUGUUAACCUGCUCGUGGCACAGUACUUCGAGAAGCGGAGGGCCACCGCCUGCAGCUUGAUGUUCACCGCCGGAGGACUCAACACAAUCGUCUUUCCACCGCUUAUAGAUCUCUUCUACUCACGCUAUGGUAUCCACGCCGCGUUCUUACUCUAUGGAGCCAUCUUGAUGAACGCAUUUCCAUGCUGCAUCGCUCUAAGAGACCCACCAUGGUUAGAUAAGCACAAAUUCUUGGGCAAAAGAAAACGCCGAGCGUUCGACGCUGUUAGCACUACAAGGAGUCCUGUAGGCGGGGAUACCACUUCUCAAGACACCAAUAUAGCGAAAUGUGUUGAAAGUAACGAUGAACUGCAUCUUUUCUUGGACAAAAGGAGUGUAGAGGAAAAUGUGCAACGUAUCAGCUUAACUAAUACCAAUGGUACACCCACCUCCUCCCGCUUUUCGACGAGCAGCAGGCUGGAGAGAAAUUACGUUGUUGAGUGUUUCAAGCAUAAACUGGCACCAUUCACCACACUAUCAUUUUUAGUGAGUGCUGUGUCGUUCACGGUUGUGAACUUCGGGAUGGCAUUAUACGUCAUGCUUUCAACAGACCUAGCAAGUGACCAUGGCGUUGAACCUUCAAGCUCAGUUUAUCUUCUUCACGCUUUCUCCGCGAGUGACAUCGUCUCCAGAGCUCUCAGCGGUGUCAUCAUCGACUCUAAGAUUCU